GCUCCAGUAGCCUAGUGGUUAGAGUUUCUGCCUUCGAUGCGGGAGAUCAUGGGUUCAAUCCCCAGCUGUCAUA